rnacentral:rRNA from 1 species
GACGAACGCUGGCGGCGUGCCUAAUACAUGCAUGUCGAGCGGAAGUUGGAGAGCUUGCUCUUCAACUUUAGCGGCGGACGGGUGAGUAACACGUGGGCAACCUGCCCUGCAGAUCGGGAUAACUCCGGGAAACCGGUGCUAAUACCGAAUAGUUUUCGCCACCUCCUGGUGGCGUACGGAAAGACGGUUUCGGCUGUCACUGCAGGAUGGGCCCGCGGCGCAUUAGCUAGUUGGUGGGGUAACGGCCCACCAAGGCGACGAUGCGUAGCCGACCUGAGAGGGUGAUCGGCCACACUGGGACUGAGACACGGCCCAGACUCCUACGGGAGGCAGCAGUAGGGAAUCUUCCGCAAUGGACGAAAGUCUGACGGAGCAACGCCGCGUGAGUGACGAAGGUUUUCGGAUCGUAAAACUCUGUUGUGAGGGAAGAACAAGUACCACUUAACUACUGGUACCUUGACGGUACCUCACCAGAAAGCCACGGCUAACUACGUGCCAGCCGCUGCCGUAAGAC